AGAAUCAACGCUGGCGGCGUGCCUAACACAUGCAAGUCGAACGCGAAAGGGGAGCAAUCCCUGAGUAGAGUGGCAAACGGGUGAGUAACACGUGGGUGACCUGCCUUCGAGUGGGGGAUAACGUUCCGAAAGGAACGCUAAUGCCGCAUGACAUCCUGCUUUUGGACAAGCGGAGAUCAAAGCUGGGGAUUCGCAAGGACCUGGCGCUUGAAGAGGGGCCCGCGCCUGAUUAGCUAGUUGGUGAGGUAACGGCUCACCAAGGCUACGAUC
rnacentral:rRNA from 1 species